AUGAGGACUGCUUCUAACAGCUUGGAUGAGUUUACGGACACUGUCACCUCCUAUACCCACUUCUGUGAGGACAGCAUUGUGCCAUCACGCACCAGGGUGCGUUAUAACAAUGACAAACCCUGGUUUACUUCUAAACUCAAAAAGCUGUGGCUGGAAAAGAGAAAGGCGUUCAGAAGCGGAGACAGGGACUGCUACAGAGAGGCCAAGUACAGGUUCACUAAAGAAGUGGACAUUGCUAAACAUCAGCACUCUGAGAAGAUGCAGCAGCAGAUCUCAGAGAAUGACUCGGCCUCUGUGUGGAAAAGUUUUAGGAAUAUCACCAACUACAAGCCUAAAACCCCCCACUCCACUGAUGACUUGCUCUUGGCAACACCCUUAACGACUUUUACUGCCAUUUUGACGAGCCAUCAAGCAGCCUUCACACCUCCAACGGCCCCAACAAUACAGACUCUUUGGACACUCAUUCCUCCACCUCUCCCCCCACCAUCAAACACUUCACCUACAACACCUCCCUCCUCACCCCACACCAAGGAGGAUUUCACACCACCUUCUCCCACCACAACUCUUCAUAUUCAUGAAGCAGAUGUGAGGAAGCAGUUUAAGAGUCUGAAUGCUCGGAAAGCUCCUGGCCCAGACGGUGUGUCUCCUGCCACCCUCAGACACUGUGCAAACGAGCUGGCCCCAGUGUUUUCUGGCAUUUUCAACUCCUCACUGCAGGCAUGUCAUGUGCCUGCCUGCUUCAAGUCCUCCACCAUAAUCCCUGUCCCCAAGAAACCAAGGAUCACUGGACUAAAUGACUACAGACCUGUGGCUCUGACAUCUGUGGUCAUGAAGUCAUUUGAGCGCCUGGUUCUCUCCUACCUCAGGACCCUCACGGCCCCCCUCCUGGACCCCCUGCAGUUUGCAUACAGAGCCAACAGGUCUGUAGAUGAUGCUAUCAACAUGGCUCUACACUUCAUCCUGCAGCAUCUGGACUCCCCAGGAACCUACGCCAGGAUCCUGUUUGUGGACUUCAGCUCUGCCUUCAACACCAUCCUUCCAGACCAUCUCCAAGGCAAGCUUUCCCAGAUGAAUGUGCCUGAUCCCAUCUGCUGGUGGAUCACUGACUUCCUGACAGACAGGAAGCAGCAUGUGAGGCUGGGAAAGAAUGUCUCGGACUCCCGGACCAUCAGCACCGGCUCCCCUCAGGGCUGUGUUCUUUCUCCUCUGCUCUUCUCCCUGUACACCAACUGCUGCUCCUCCACCCACCAGUCUGUCAAGCUAAUCAAGUUUGCAGAUGACACCACCGUUAUUGGACUCAUGUCAGACGGGGAUGAGUCUGCCUACAGGGGUCCGUUCUUCGUACCUCGCUUACUACAUCCAAGAUCAAAUGACACAUCCAAGAUCAAAUCAUCGCGCCAACUUUGA
rnacentral:lncRNA from 1 species